CACGUAGGGCGCAAGCGUUGUCCGGAAUUAUUGGGCGUAAAGAGCUCGUAGGCGGUCUGUUGCGUCUGCUGUGAAAACCCGGGGCUUAACCCCUGGCUUGCAGUGGAUACGGACAGACUAGAGGUAGGUAGGGGAGAAUGGAAUUCCCGGUGUAGCGGUGAAAUGCGCAGAUAUCGGGAGGAACACCAGAGGCGAAGGCGGGCUACUGGGCCGAUACUGACGCUGAUGCGCGAAAGCCAGGGGAGCAAACGGG
rnacentral:rRNA from 1 species